AAUUUUUCAACCCCUUGUCCCUGCACACCAAGGCCCUGAUUCAACAAAAACUUCUGGAGUCACUCAGGGCAAUAUGUUCUCAAUGACUGAAAGGCCAGGUCCUCACAAGAGGAGGAACAGCUCCCGUUGAGGCCAGUGCUGCCACCAUAUGCAGUUGGUGUAUGGGGCCGGCUCCGCUCUGAAAAGCAGCUAAACCUUGGAAGCAGAUUGCGAAUUACAGACAACAUUUGAGAGGAAGUCAGUAAUUCCCCUCUUCACUCUCAGGCCCCGGGCUACCUCUGCAGGCUUGUAAGA